UGGCGGACGGGUGAGUAAUGUCUGGGAAACUGCCCGAUGGAGGGGGAUAACUACUGGAAACGGUAGCUAAUACCGCAUAACGUCGCAAGACCAAAGAGGGGGACCUUCGGGCCUCUUGCCAUCGGAUGUGCCCAAAUGGGAUUAGCUAGUAGGUGGGGUAACGGCUCACCUAGGCGACGAUCCCUAGCUGGUCUGAGAGGAUGACCAGCCACACUGGAACUGAGACACGGUCCAG
rnacentral:rRNA from 1 species